rnacentral:tRNA from 1 species
GCCGAAAUAGCUCAGUUGGUAGAGCGUAUCACUCGUAAUGAUAAGGUCCCGGGUUCAAGUCCCGGUUUCGGCU